rnacentral:rRNA from 1 species
CAAGGAAUUUUCGUCAAUGGGCGCAAGCCUGAACGAGCAACGCCGCGUGCGGGAUGACGGCCUUCGGGUUGUAAACCGCUUUUGCGGGGGACGAUAAUGACGGUACCCCGCGAACAAGCCCCGGCUAACUCUGUGCCAGCAGCCGCGGUAAUACAGAGGGGGCAAGCGUUGUCCGGAAUUACUGGGCGUAAAGCGUACGCAGGUGGCUCAGGAAGUGUUGUGUGAAAGCCCCGCGCUUAACGCGGGGAGG